AACAGUGAUCCAUUUCAUUCUUAAAAUUGGACCCAAUGAUGUAAUGGAUAGGGAACCAUCAACUUCAAAAUGACUUGGGCCACAUUCAGCAACAGGCCCAAUUUCAAAAACACACUGCAGCUAUAAAGCAGGGAAUUCAAGAUUGAGUCCCUGCAGUAGCAUUCGAGAUCAGCCUUGACUGAAGGGAAAUCGACAUUAAGUCCAAUCAACUACCAGUAAUAUAAGUCAAUGCUAAACCUUCGGGCUUGGUCCUGAAUGAGCUCAUGUUUUGAUGAAGGAAGGAGGGCCCAAAAGAAUCACCAUAUGUCGACUUUGGCAGGUAAUUUACGAUGAGACAAUGAACAAUCUCCCAAUCAAUUUCCAAAUUAUAAGAUAAGAAAACAAAUUGAUGAAGCCAUAAAUAAUACUAUAGUCUGUAAAUGAAGAUGAUUUGAAAUCUACUCCAAAGUCUCACGCCUAACUUUCAAUUUAUCAAUUCAUGAAAAGUUCAUUCAAGCAUUCCUAACUAUCAUGUCAAAAAUUAAUCACACCUUAUUUCAGAUCUCCCCUCCCUUUCAAGUUUUAAAAAGAAAGCAAAAGGCAAGCAUAGCGGUUACCUUCUUUAGAACAAAAAAGAAACCUAAGAAAAUUUGAAGACAAAUGACUGCUCACUUCUACAUUUACAAACUCCACAUAGAAGAAGAGGAUUCAACAACCAACAUUUAACCUUUCAACGAGUUCAAGUAAAUAAGAGCUAGGACAUGAGUGAUUUCAAGAAUAACUGAACAAAUCUUCCAACCCAAAACAUUAGACUAAGGUUGUAUUACCAGAUUUUAACAGCUUCCUCACUCAACACACCCAAAAGAAUCAUAUGAUUCAGAUUUUUGAAGGAAAAUCAUGUGAGGAAUCAAGCUAACUUUGAGAGGUUAACCAGAGACGAACAAACAAGUUCAGAUUUCGUUUAAUACUCGGUUAGUUUUCCAAAGGCCCAAUACACUAUAGGAGCAUAACCAAUAGAAGAUUAAGAACUUUCAAAACUAGGUUAUAAACCAUACAAAUGCAGACUUAACCUGACUAUUGCCUAACCAAAUUCAACAAAAAAACUUCAAGAUUUGGAACCAACAUACGUUUGGUCAUGCAGUUAUUCACCCCAAACCAAAACCCAGAAAACCUCAAGUUAACUACUACAAACCACAGUCUAUAAUUAAUACAAAUGGAAAUACUACUUGGAGGUCACUUUCAUACACAAAAUUUAAGAGAAAAUGAAAAGACCUAUUUAACAUCUAUAUUUAGGGUCCAAGAAACUACAGUCCGAUUAUUACAAGUAUUGAAACGAGUAAAUGUUCAUGACACUACAUGAGUUCAAACAUUUUAAACCGAAAACAUGAAUCAACAAUUCGAAUAAAACAAAAACAAAAAGAAGAGGAACACAUUCAACAGGUAAGGAGAUCUUCAUCUAUUUAUGAUACAUGAAUCAACUUUUACAUUUGGUAUCAAGGUGUGUACCUAAAUAUGGCGAAGCAAAAUCAAAAGUUGAGUUAAAGACUCAGAACGAAUCAGCAACAAUAGUAACAGCCGAUCAACAAUCAGUCCACAAUGGAAUAGUAUUCCAAUAAAUCAAAUAGCUCCAAACAAUCUCUCAACUUCCCAGAAUUAAACUAUUUUUCAAACCUAGAAUCAGGAAUUCUUUAAGAUCUAAAAUUUUUGACUAAUAACGAAAUUAAAGAGCAGAACUAGGACUAUUUAAGAUUAAAAAGCUGCAGGGAUUUUUUUGUAGUUUUAGGUAUCAGUCACUCCCGUUUUUAUGAAAGAAAGGUCUAUAUAUAUAGCCCUCUUUUGGUGCCCUUGGGCUGCAAGAAACAGAAUGCGAAUAAAUUCUCUCACAAGGCAUCUUUUUUAACAGAAAUGGGACAGCUGGCAGCCUGUUAUUGGCUCCAGCAACUUGUGCUAGCCAAAUAAGGCCAGCUGCCUCUAUGUUAGAAGUUUCCAUCACAUAAACUCAUCCAAAAGACCUUCUCUAUUUUCCAAGUUGGUCCCUAAGUUUUCAUCUAUUAAACUGAGAUCCUAGAAGUGUUUACCAAUUUCAAAACCUAACCAAACAAGAUAUGGCUAGCAGCUAUGAACAAAACCAAUCAAAUAGCAUAAAAUACUAGGCUUUUGCAAUCAAAUCAACAAAAAUUCAAUUUCCUGAUAAACUUCAAAAUUCAAUGUUAAAGGCUAAUGACGAACUUGACUCUAUGAGACGAACAAAAAAAGAUUAAUAGAAUACUAAAUAUUUACUCAACCAAAUCACAGAAACCCUAAAAUUCUUAUCAUGCAAUUAAGAGGGAAAAGAAACUGAACAGUAAGAUUAAAAAAAAUCAUACUAGACCUGACUUUCACAACUGUUCAAGCAUAUGCGGGUAUAUGAUAAACAAAUCUCCAUUACAUGACUAAAGAAAACAGAGCUAAACCAAACUCGGACAGGUAACCAUAAAAGAAAUCAGAAAAGAGAAAAACCAAAAAAAUUAACAUACUAACCAGAAGCCAAAGAGGACGGGGCGAGGUUCAGACUCACCAGAACACCUAACGACUGAGCUCAAACUCGAUCAAGGAGGCAGAGAAGCGGUUGACUGAAUAGAAGUUGGCUCUCAAAAAUGAACCAACAUAAAGGUGGUUUUGGACGGGAACUCUUGUUUGACACAAGUCUUGGGUCAUCUUGGUUUCUAAAAUGUAACGAAACAACUUUGGACGAACUAGGGUUCCCAAUUCAGAUCUAAAAUUUAAGGCACUAGAAAAGGUGUUUAGGGAUUUUAUCGAUGGAUUUGGGAAAAAGAGAGUGCAGGGGUUGCCUUGUACCAAUUUGAGGCGGUUUGGAGUGAUUAGGUUUUAGAGCCCGAUUUUGGAUCUAAAAUUUGAGCAGACUCAGAGAGAUUCAAGGGGAACUACUUUGGGGUUUAGAAAGAGGGAGGUGAGAAAAUUGUUUGGUGUUAAUUUGGGGAUGAGAGGAGGUGGUACUGCCACCUUGAGGCUGUGGAAACAGGGGGUGGCGGGCUAGGUUUUUUGGGUGUUCUCUGAGGGUGCAUUGUGAGAGAGACGCUUGAGAGGGGGGGUGAUAGGUUAGGGCACUUAAAUACUCCAACAAACCUCACU
rnacentral:lncRNA from 1 species